UAUAAAUAUCGGGGAGGGAGAGAGAAGUUGACAACUAGUCGUAUCCCCCUAUAGUACAUUUUGAGACAUUUCAUGUCUACCAGGCGUAGCCAUGACAUCGCUAAAACGUCAUACUCUU